rnacentral:tRNA from 1 species
UGUAAGAAAGACCAAGGGUAGGUCGUCGGGCUCAUGCCCCGAAGAAGUGAGUUCAAGUCUCACUCUUACAA